rnacentral:rRNA from 1 species
GAUGAACGCUGGCGGCGUGCUUAACACAUGCAAGUCGAACGGAAAGGCCCAAGCUUGCUUGGGUACUCGAGUGGCGUACGGGUGAGUAACACGUGGGUGAUCUGCCCUGCACUUCGGGAUAAGCCUGGGAAACUGGGUCUAAUACCGGAUAGGACGAUGGUUUGGAUGCCAUUGUGGAAAGUUUUUUCGGUGUGGGAUGAGCUCGCGGCCUAUCAGCUUGUUGGUGGGGUAAUGGCCUACCAAGGCGUCGACGGGUAGCCGGCCUGAGAGGGUGUACGGCCACAUUGGGACUGAGAUACGGCCCAGACUCCUACGGGAGGCAGCAGUGGGGAAUAUUGCACAAUGGGCGCAAGCCUGAUGCAGCGACGCCGCGUGGGGGAUGACGGCCUUCGGGUUGUAAACUCCUUUCGCUAGGGACGAAGCGUUUUUGUGACGGUACCUGGAGAAGAAGCACCGGCUAACUACGUG